rnacentral:lncRNA from 1 species
AUUUUGACUUACUUUAAUGUAUGUUUACAUGCUUAUGUGCUUUGAACUUUUGUUAUUAUGCCAUGAACUUUUGUGUGUUUAUUUUGCCAUUGAUCCAUGAUUCACAUGUCAUUCUUUCAUGUCUUGUUGAACCCUUGUGUGCAUGUGUUCCCUUGUGUUUGUCUUUGUUUAUGUGUUUACAAAUGCUUUAAACUUGUAAUAACAUGUCUUUGUAUGACUUG